AGGGGUGCAGCUCAGUGUUAGAGCGCUUGCUUAAUAUGCAUGAGACCCUGGGUUUAAUCCCCAAUACUGCAA
rnacentral:tRNA from 1 species